CCAAAGACUGUGUGUGUGUGUGUGUGUGUGUGUGUGUUUUGAACAAGGCUUUGAGUAAUUAUUAUCACCCAGACAUAAUAGUUUUAUUUAUUUAUUUAUUUUCAUGUUAUAAUGUGGAUGCUGGGGUGGGCCACCAACAGAGUGGAGGGAGAAGGAGAAGGAGGAUAAGAGGAAGGCCGUCGCCCCCUGACCAACCACAAAUAUCUCCUCCAGGACCAGGAAGAAUACCCCAUUCCGAUGCAAGGCCGACACAUCACUACAGUUAGCUGCAACAAGGCAUGUUGUCUGCCAGACCGACCCAGCACAGAGCCACACUGUUGGACUCUUCAGCCUCACAUCGAAGUGCAGAUCAGGCGUUCCUGGGCCAAAUUUAAACCAACUUUUGAAUUUACUUCUGCCAGAAAAAAAUGAAAUAUGCAUUUUGAGAUGCCAUUUGAGGAAGAGGGAGACGAGAACAUUUACAACCUCAGCCACCCAGACGCACGUAAGACUGUGCUUGGCCAGACUUGGUGGAUAAACUUAAGGGAGCGGCACCGUUAUUGCCUUACUGCCCGGACCCCAGACAUCAUCGACCGUGGGAUGGCAUCAAGAGGGGGACCAUCGAGGACUACUUCAGGCUCCACACCACAUUUAUUUAUUUCAUUUUUUGUCUUGUGUUAAUUAACAAAAAGGUGUGUUAUCAUUUAAUAAAUAUUUUCAUAUUUUCACUCAU